rnacentral:lncRNA from 1 species
AUGACAAAGAAAAGGAACAACGGCCUCACCAAAAAGGGCCACAGCCAUGUGCAGCCUAUUUGCUGCAUGAACUGUGCCCGAUGCAUGCCCAAGGACAAGGCUAUUAAGAAAUUUGUCAUUCGAAACAUAGUGGAGCCCGCAGCAGUCAGGGACAUUUUUGAAGCGAGGGUCUUCAAUGCCUAUGUGCUUUCCAAGCAGUAUAUGAAGCUACAUUACUGUGUGAGUUGUGCAAUUCACAGCAAAGUAGUCAGAAAUCAAUCUCAUGAAGGCUUCAAGGACCCAACACUCCCACCC